CGUAGGGUGCAAGCGUUAUCCGGAUUUAUUGGGCGUAAAGGGCGCGCAGGCGGCCACCAGCAGUGGCCCGUGGAAUCUCUCCGCUUAACGGAGAGAGGCCGGGCCAAACGGGGUGGCUUGGGGCAGGCAGAGGCAUGCAGAACGGGCGGAGUAGGGGUGAAAUCCGUAGAGACCGUCCGGAAUACCAGUGGCGAAGGCGGCAUGCUGGGCCUGAAGCCGUAAGGCUGAACCCGACGCUCGGGCGCGAAAGCGUGGGGAGCGAACGGAAUUAGAUACUCCGGUAGUCCACGCCCUAAACGAUGGCAACUCGGUGUCGGGGGUAUCGACCCCCCCGGCGCCCCAGCAAACGCGGUAAGUUGCCCGCCUGGGGACUACGGCCGCAAGGCUA
rnacentral:rRNA from 1 species